GGUGUGGGAUAGAAGGAAAGCACAGACGUUAGCAGCAAUGGAGGAACGAGAAGGUAACGAGUCCGAUAAGAGAGAUGAGAAGAGGGAGAAAGGAGAGGGUUGAUACCUCCGGAAAACUGCCAGCAUUGCCACGACUGUUGGAAUAUCCUUGAUUCUCCAGUGAUUCUCCAUCUCCUUCUGCACUUCUGGCAUCACACAGCAAAACCUGUGCGAGGCUUCUCAUACCAGGAGAGAGGGGCCGUGAUGAGGGAAGUUUUUGUGGUGGCAGAGAUUAGAGGAGUAAUUUUGCCAGCGAUUUGAGAGAAAAAUGGGGGAAAAGGCCGCCAUACUGGUGAAUACGCCAAGCCUUGAUCGCAAUGGCGAUCUCCCGAGGUCCUGAUACUAAGGAGAGCAAGUUUCCCAGACAUCGGUAUGGGAUGAAGUUUAACGAGUCCAGCAAUGGGUUAUGAAAGAUGGAAAUUGAUCUUGAGGUGAAUAUUUCGAAGGACUGUAGGAAGUCAUGAAAGCAGAUGAGUCUUUAACCAUUCCAUAGAAUUGAAAAUCAAUGGCCACGUUACUGGACAUUUUUAGACGGAACAGAUCGGUAAGUAAACACGUUUGACAUUUUUUUUUUUUAAUUGACGAUCAAAACCUUUGUGGAAAAUGUUCUUAUGGAGUUCCCGGU